GGAGGUAUAGCUCAAGUGGUAGAGCACAUGCUUAACAUACACAAGGUCCUGGGUUCAACCCCCAGUGCCUCCA
rnacentral:tRNA from 1 species